CCGGGUGAUUAUCGACCACACCCUGCGGCGACUCCCGCCGGACGCCCGCCGCGUGCUGGCCCACCAUCAUCCUGCCACCGUGGACGACCUGGUCCUACAGCUGGAGAACUGGCAGGUGGCCCAGCUCCUGAACGUUAGACCCGCCCCAGCCCCACGGCGCGCCGAGCCCCGCCAAGACCCAAGGGGACCCCCUGUCAGGACCCCGGCUCCCGGCUCCACCCCACCGAGCGCAGUACCGGUGAACCAGGAGGUGCGGCGCUGCUUCGGGUGCGGCCAGCCCGGCCACAUCGCUCGCUAUUGCCCGAGGGGACGGGAUGUAUCGAUGCCGUCAGCAUACGCGGAUCCGGGGGUGGAUCACACCUGCAUGUUGGCGACCUGCUGGUCGCAGGGAACCUCGGGUAGUCCGACGAUCCCGGCGCGGGUCAUGAACCGGGACACGCAGGCCCUCUUGGACACUGGCAGUGCGGUUACCCUCCUUCGCCCCGACCUGGCGGGGGGGAAGGCAGGGGAACCUAUGGAGGUGGCCUGCGUUCACGGGGACACCCGGACCUACCCCACGUGCCACGUGGUUGUCCGCACCCCAAACGGGGUGUUCACAAUCAGGGCGGGGAUUGUCCCCCACCUACCGGUCCCCGUGUUGAUCGGGAGGGACUGCCCGAUCUUCCACCGGCUGUGGGACCCGACGCGGGAGCUACGGAGCUGGGGAGGCCCUACCCGCAGAGGGGCGCGGGGGGUUCGGCAGGCCUACGGGGCCACCCGGCGUCCAUCAUCCCCGGGAGAGCUGACGGCGGAGGACGAGGAAUCGGAGGGGAACGGACCUUCCCCGCCGGGGACCCCGGGGCACACAGCGAGAGGUCCCGUCCGGAGCGAGACACCGGAACCUACCCCCGACACCACGGAGACCCUCACAGCCUCCGAGCAGCCAGACCCGCCGGAAGACCCGGAGAGCUCCCCCCUCACUGAGUUCUCGGACUUCUUACCCGGGGGGGGGGGAAGGCUCAUCCCGACCCGGCCAGUUCGCCACCGCUCAGCUCCAGGAUGAGGCCCUCAAGCACGCCUGGAGCCACGUCCUGGUUCAUGACGGGCAGGCCCGAGACUCGACGCCUCGGAGGUGGGACUUGGGGGGGUCUUGUCCCAGGUCCGGGCCGGAGAGGAGCACCCCAUAACCUACGUCAGCCGGAAGCUCCUCCCCAAUGAGCGCAACUACUCCACCGUGGAGAAGGAGGCCCUGGCCAUCAAAUGGUGCCUGGAGAAGUUGCGCUACUACCUCCUGGGGAGGGAGUUCACCUUAGUCACCGACCACGCCCCCCUGAAGUGGAUGGCGGGGGCCAAGAAUACAAACGCCCGGGUGACACGGUGGUUCCUGGCUCUCCAGGAUUUCCGGUUCCGGGUGGACCACCGACCGGGCCGCGAGCAUGCCAACGCCGACGCCCUGUCACGUCGGGAUGCCUGUAUGGGUGGGUUCCCCAGAGACCAGGGGCUUGAGCAAACGGGGGGGGGGGGAGUGUGGCAUCCCGCCCCUGAAGCCUCGGCCUGAAUGGUCCCGUGGGACCGUGAAGGACGGGGUGUACCACCCCCACCCACCAGCCGGCGACGGAGAGCACCGGGUCCUUCCCCCCAAUCAGGGUGAUUGGGGGACACCUGGCCAAAAGCAGAGGAGCCAUUUUAAGUGGAGGUCCAGACCAAGAGCACGGCAGAGGCAGAGACACGCAAGGACUGCAGAGGCUUGAGGCUCACGGAGACCCAAGCGCACCCUUAUCCUGUCUUUGAUAAUUGCAAUAAACGCCGAAGUCUGCUUAAACCAACCAUUGCCAC
ensembl:lncRNA